rnacentral:lncRNA from 1 species
GCAUUAUUUGUAAGUUAAAGCAAUGUAUGAAAUUUACAUCAAGCAAUGAAAAAAUCUCGAUAAAAGGAUUCUAUUAAAUGCGUUUCUGGCCAUCUGUGCAAACGCAUACGCUUGAAGAUUAAUAAAAAAUUUGUCUAGUCUGAGCGAAAUGAUCCUAGUUUAUCGUAUGCAACUUGAUGCUCGUAAAGUGCAUCUCACCUUUCUGGUUGCGUUAUAUUUAUUACACAUAACGAUCGCACAUUGCACAAC